rnacentral:rRNA from 1 species
AUGUCCUCCAAAAGCAAUCCAAAGCUUGAGACUGUCAGCCUAUUGGCUCAAGCUUUACUGGACAAGUACAAUGAAGAUCACCUUCUUUUUGGGGAUCUUGCAUAUGAACUUGAUGAUGUUGUGAGCUUCCGAGAAAUUUAUGAGAGGGAGGGCCGCCUUGUCAACAUGUUCUAUCAUAUCAAUUUGACUACAAAAACGAAAGGAGAUGAUGGUUUUCAGAGUGGCGUCGAUAAUGUGUUCUUUGCUGAAGUCACACGAAUAAAAGGCGAAGAUGUACAAUAUGUGCUCAGUUGUUUCUGCAUGGUUGAACCUAAUGACAAUGGCCAAUGCUAUGGUUGCAUGAGAUACGGAAAUGUUGAUUUGAAGCAUCCUGUUGAUGUUGAUAAAUACAAAGGUGGCCACUCUUAUCGGUACUCACCAUGUUCUGGUUUUGAUCCACGGCGGGAUACCCCUGGCCCGGAUGUACCUGCAUACAUCCAGGAUGAGGAGGAUAGGCUCGCGUAUGAGGAGGCUACAGUAAGAAGUAUGUACGAGUGCCCUGACAAUCCUCCUAUUCUAGCAAAAUUGAAUGGUACAAGAAUGCCUGUUGGUUGUUCGACCAAAAGAGAGGAUGCUAGUUUGGCCAAGAGAGAGGAUGGCAAGGGAAGGGUGAAAUACGUUGUACCUGCUAGGCGUCAGUUGGUUUGA